rnacentral:rRNA from 1 species
AGAGUUUGAUCAUGGCUCAGAACGAACGCUGGCGGCAUGCCUAACACAUGCAAGUCGAACGCUCAUCCGGCUUCGGCCGGGUGGGAGUGGCGCACGGGUGAGUAGCGCGUGGGAACCUGCCCUGUUGUGGGGGAUAACCGAGGGAAACUUCGGCUAAUACCGCAUGCGCCCCGGGGUGAUCUUCGGAUGAACCCGGGGGAAAGAUUUAUCGCAGCAGGAGGGGCCCGCGUCGGAUUAGCUAGUUGGUGGGGUAACGGCCCACCAAGGCUUUGAUCCGUAGCUGGUCUGAGAGGAUGAUCAGCCACACUGGGACUGAGACACGGCCCAGACUCCUACGGGAGGCAGCAGUGGGGAAUAUUGGACAAUGGGCGCAAGCCUGAUCCAGCAAUGCCGCGUGAGUGAUGAAGGCCUUAGGGUUGUAAAGCUCUUUCGCCCGCGACGAUGAUGACGGUAGCGGGAGAAGAAGCCCCGGCUAACUUCGUGCCAGCAGCCGCGGUAAUACGAAGGGGGCGAGCGUUGUUCGGAAUUACUGGGCGUAAAGGGCGCGUAGGCGGCCCUUCAAGUCAGGCGUGAAAGCCCCGGGCUCAACCUGGGAGGUGCGCUUGGGACUGGAGGGCUCGAGUUCGGGAGAGGAGAGUGGAAUUCCCAGUGUAGAGGUGAAAUUCGUAGAUAUUGGGAAGAACACCGGUGGCGAAGGCGGCUCUCUGGACCGAGACUGACGCUGAGGCGCGAAAGCGUGGGGAGCAAACAGAAUUAGAUACCCCCGUAGUCC